CUAAUCAAGACUUACUCUGUGAUAACUGAUGACAUGAAACAUUUUAGUGGCCCUCAUUAGUGAACUUCGGUGAGUAGUUCAACUUAAUUCUAUAAUGCAUGACAAAACAGCAAAUAGUUGCUGAUAGUCAAUGAUCAAAGACUUCCAGAUUACCAUGUUGAUUCUUGUGGUGGUCUCCAAUGUUUCAUGGCGUUCCAAUGCAUGUCCUUUGCUAUUCCGUGACACUCCCUUGGCAUUCCAUGUAGCCACCACGGAAUCUCCUGCUGCCACCAUGGAAUCCCAUGUAGUCACCACGGAAACCCAGGAGUCACCAUGGAGUUCCGUGUCUCCUCCAUGGAGUCUCCAUGGAGUUCCGUGCCUUCUCCAUGGAGUCUCCAUGGAGUUCCGUGCCUUCUCCAUGGAGUCUCCAUGGAGUUCCGUGUUCUCACCAUGUAAUUCCAUGGAAAACAGCACGGAAUCCCAUGGAAUUCCAUGGAAAAUUUUUACCAGGGCAACUCACACCCCCAACGAAUUUCCAAGGGAAAAAAGAAGAAAAUCAUCAAGGAGAGUGAAAAAGGUACCUUUUCGAUGUUAGAAGAAAAAUGCGGAGAGAGUGGCUCAUCAUCAUCUGAACAAUUGGAUUCUGGAGAUGAGCUUAUCAACAAGAAUAAGUAUGAUGAACUUUUGCGAGACUACAGAAACUUAGAAAAGGCCAAUGAAAAAUUGGAAAAUGAAUUAUCUCGUUCGAAAAAGAGGUUGAAAAAUUAGAGGACACGAACGAAAAACUUUUAAAUGACUUGAGCUGUCAAAGUAAGAAGAUGGCUAUGAUUGAAAAUCUCAACUUUCAAUAUCAAGCCAAAAUGUUAGCAGACAAGGCAGAUACAAAGGUCCCAAGUAGUCAGGUGAAAAGUCGGAAUCCUUUACCAACGACUCCAUUGCUGUCCAGCACUCCAAGUGCAAAAAAAGUCUUGUUCCCUGAAGAGAAAAAUCAAGAUAAUGUUGUUUCUUCUCCCUCAAAGUCGAUUUGGAGGGAAUCAAGCCCAAAGGCUCUGUCCCCAAUAUGUGCGUCUGAAUCAAAGGCUCUGUCCCCAAUAUGUGUGUCUGAAUCGUCGCCAACAAAAAUCAUCGAACUGGAAGAACCCGCACCACCUUCCAAGAAACCACGGUUGCUUUUGAAUGUGACACCGAAAAAGAUGAAGAAGGUUUUAUUGAAUGUAAAAGAUCAGAAACGCGGAGACAGCCAGUUUGUGAAAAAUUUGGCUCAUGUU
rnacentral:lncRNA from 1 species